rnacentral:lncRNA from 1 species
GCAUAAUUGCUUCAUACUUAUGCUAAUUACGCUAAGUAGAGAUAUCAUGUUGUAGUAGGUUACAUUAUUUUCACUUACCUUUCGCUUUUCUAUUGUUACUGUCACUGACAUCUUUUGUAGCUUUGGGCCUUGUGGUGCAUUCACUGAAGUCAGUAAUUGCCCACUGGGAACUAUUUUUAAUAGUUCUCACGCCCCUGUUUUAUGGUUUCCUUUUCAGAGCCUUCGGCACCGGCGGAGGCACGGGAUCGCGGC